GAUGAACGCUGGCGGCGUGCCUAAUACAUGCAAGUCGAGCGAACAGACGAGGAGCUUGCUCCUUUGACGUUAGCGGCGGACGGGUGAGUAACACGUAGGUAACCUACCUAUAAGACUGGGAUAACUUCGGGAAACCGGAGCUAAUACCGGAUAAUAUUUCGAACCGCAUGGUUCGAUAGUGAAAGAUGGCUUUGCUAUCACUUAUAGAUGGACCUGCGCCGUAUUAGCUAGUUGGUAAGGUAACGGCUUACCAAGGCAACGAUACGUAGCCGACCUGAGAGGGUGAUCGGCCACACUGGAACUGAGACACGGUCCAGACUCCUACGGGAGGCAGCAGUAGGGAAUCUUCCGCAAUGGGCGAAAGCCUGACGGAGCAACGCCGCGUGAGUGAUGAAGGUCUUCGGAUCGUAAAACUCUGUUAUUAGGGAAGAACAAACGUGUAAGUAACUGUGCACGUCUUGACGGUACCUAAUCAGAAAGCCACUGCUAACUACGUG
rnacentral:rRNA from 1 species